GAUGAACGCUAGCGGCAGGCCUAAUACAUGCAAGUCGAGGGGCAGCGCGGUAGCAAUACUGGCGGCGACCGGCGCACGGGUGCGUAACGCGUAUGGAACCUACCUUUUACUGGGGGAUAGCCCGGAGAAAUUCGGAUUAAUACCCCAUGGUAUGCUAGACUGGCAUCAGUUUAGUAUUAAAGAUUUAUCGGUAAGAGAUGGCCAUGCGUAUGAUUAGCUAGUUGGCGGGGUAAUGGCCCACCAAGGCGAUGAUCAUUAGGGGGUCUGAGAGGAUGAUCCCCCACACUGGUACUGAGAUACGGACCAGACUCCUACGGGAGCAGCAGUAGGGAAUAUUGGUCAAUGGGCGAGAGCCUGAACCAGCCAUGCCGCGUGCAGGAAGAAGGCCCUCUGGGUUGUAAACUGCUUUUGACAGGGGCCAAAAUACUCAUGCGUGAGGAAUUGAGAGUACCUGUAGAAUAAGCACCGGCUAACUCCGUGCCAGCAGCCGCGGUAA
rnacentral:rRNA from 1 species